ensembl:snRNA U6 U6 spliceosomal RNA
GUGUUACAGCAGCACAGAUACUAAAAUUGGAAUGAUAAAGGGACGAUUAGCACUUCCCCUGCUCAAGGAUGACAUGCAAAUUUGUGAAGCAUUUCAUAUUUAA